AAGUACUAGUCAAGCAUUAACUGUGCUCCUCACGACUGUUCACAGACCUCACCGCAGUCUUACUCUCGACCUCCGAAUUUUGCCAGUCCGCUCCACGCUGCACGAUCCUAGCCCAGGUCAGGACAAAUGCAGUCUGCAGUCAGAGCCUGGCCCGGGCACAGCCCCAUUUGAGGAUGGCAGAGAAUGCAGGCUGCAGGGCCCUCCUCCUAACUGCAGGAACAAGGUCUAAAGACACACAGGGUGGCCUCUUCUUCCUUGACAGUAACUACAGGGUACUGAAGACUCCCUGCUGUGCUUUAGACCUCAACCAUCCCCCAAGUCUCAUGGGUAUGGAAAGUGAUUGGAUCAUGGGUGCGUGCCCAGCAGCAGAUCCACUCGUGGGUGAGUUCAUGACUGACUGCCGUUGGGGGGGCGGGCUGGUUGGUGCCUGCUGGGAUGUGACCUGGAAGGCUGUAGCCUUGUCCAGAGGUCCUCUCUUGUUUUUCUGCCUCCCGGCUACCGUAGGCCACCACUUUGUCCUCCACCACGACCUCUGUCUUCCCCUCCCUUCCUGGGAGCCAGCUGACUGUGGACUGAAGCCCAGGGAUAGCAAGGCCAUCCCAUGAUCCAUCAAUGUGUGGGAUGCUGGCUCCCUCUUUUUGACAGAACAAAGUAUUUCCAAGGACUCUUCUCAGGAGAAAUGUACAGUCUCAGGCAAGACACAGAAAAAAACAGACACCUGUGCAUUACUUUUGUGGCAAAGCACACUUUUGAUUUCUCUUUGUACCUUUUCAAAAGAGAGGUUUCUAACACUUCUUCUGUAAAACUCACUCUCCUCCAUCCUCUUGAUGCACAAAGAAACUGCCACUAAACACAAGACAGAAUUCCAGUGGGAGCCUCAUAGUCUUGGCUCACUGCAAGAAGAGUGAGUCACUUAGCACAAUCUCAAGAAGAGGAGAUAUAUGGCGGUGUGGUGGCCUCUUGUUCUUGGAGAUUGUCCACAUGGUUAAUGUUUCUGAGCUGAUGUUCCCGGUAAAUUUGAUUUAGUGACUUUAUGUAUGCUUCUCCACUAAAGUAUUACAUAUUUUAAAUCAACUGUCAGUAACCUUCACAGAGGGAAGUGCAUAAAUGGAAAAGAUUCAAUGAAAUGCUACAAUAUGUACAUCACUGCCCCAAAACAACUCCGUUUCACAAGGUGUUGGCUUUGUUUUGAAUGCAGAAAAAGAAAUUACCCUCAAUAAUCAUUUUAUGCAUUUGCCCCUUAAGUGCUUCUGACCAUGGAGAUAUAAAACAAGACUUGGCAAGCGGAAGAGAGCCUUCUCUGUUGACCUUUAAGUAAACAUUUCAUGUAUUAGAAGGCCAAGAUUGAAAUGUGCCCACCAGUUGCAACUGUACUCACUCUGAUUAAUGCAGAGACAGCUUCCUGAAUCUGUGAUGGUGUCAACGGGGAUGUGUCACUGGCCCACCUGCCACAUCUUCUCAGAGUGAUUUCUGGUAGCAGAGGCAUUCAGGGACCUUGCUCAGAGACUGCCGACCCCUCCAGGCCACUUUGUGUCUCAGGAAGUAUCCUUGGCACUGAAGCAGGAUGCAGGGCACCCUGCGUACCAGGCUUCCCACACGCCUGCCCCAGCACCUGUACCCUCCCUCCAGGUCAUAACAAUGACUCGCUGCUUGUUUAUGUAUCUGGAGAUUUUCUUAUUUUUGGUCCUAAACACAAAAUCUUAAAACUACUUCAGUUUGGCUGCAGAACUGCUCAUUUACUUAUUCAAUAAAUAUGUGUUAAACACCAACUACACACAAGGAACUCUGUGAUUGCUGAGGACGCCAUGGGGGGGCGGGCUGGAAGGAGAAGGCAGGAGUAGAAGGGGGAAUCCAGCAGCAGAAGGGAAGAUGAGUGGGUCCAAGGGUGCGAAGAUGGCCACAUGUGGGAAACCAUAUAAAAGUACGAGGCGCUCGCAAAGUAGGUGACUGGCUGAUGGCGUUAGCAGGAAGAGUGUAGUGAGUGGGGUUCGGGUGAGCACUGAGACUGAUGCUGAGCAGGGGAUGAAGGGCAUAGAUGCCAUGCCAAGGAACGUGCUCUUCCCGCUGCAAACAGCAGGAGGCUUCUGGGGGUUUUGUGCAGGGUGAGAGAGCAUGAGGUGGCCUUGGGGAGAAGCCACUAGAAGAUGGACGGCCUUAAGUUCCAUACCUCCUCUGUGCACAGAAGGAAUGACCUGGAGCAGGCACAGGGCUUCCAACAUAGUCAAGCAGCAUAGACUUUCAUUCCAAAUACAGCAAGAGUGGCAGUGCAGAGCGCACACUGGACAGAUCGAGGUAGAGACGUCAGAAACCAUGGCUGAUUUAAAAACAAAGGCAGGUUUAGACACUUUUUCCGAUUGAGAUAGGAAAGUUCUAAUGGGGGGCAUCAUUGCAGAUUACCAUACAGCUGCAUCUUCCCUUUUGGAAAGAACAUUGUUUUUUGACUUUUGUGAUCUCCAUAACUGCUGACAUCAGAAGUCAACUGAACUCAUGAUAACUGUUAUUCACCUGCUCAAAGGGUUACUACAAAGACUAAUGCCAAGCCUGGCAACUGCCUCUGCAGAUGGAGCUUGAGAGGUGGUAGAGUUGGCAGCAGGAACUCUGGGGCCGUAUGUCUGGAACAGCAGCCUCAGGAGGGAAGAAUGAACGAUCGUCUAAGCAAGAAACAGUGGUCCAAGCUGGGACCAAGACAAUGGCAAGAUGGGCAGAUUUGAAGAACAGAAAAGGCAGAGUUGCUGUCUUGAGGGAUCUGAGUGUUACAAGAUGAUAACAACAGUGAAGGUCUUGACACAGUGCCUGGGAUGAUGGUACAAGCAGAAUCCCAGAGAAAAGAUGACCACCAUUGUUCUGGACACCCAAGACCUGAAGUAUCCACUGAAAUUCCAAGUAGUGAGGUCCACCAGCCUCCUGGAAAUACAAGGCCCAAAAACAGCAGCACUAAAAGGAGGUGGCUGGUACCUGGAAUCACUGAAAAUCAUGAAGUUAUCUGGAGAAGUAUCUGACACUCAAUAAUUAGAGAUAUUUUAAAUUAAAGAUAAAAGUGCAACCUUAAAUACCUACUAAAAAAUCCUAUUAAGUUUUCUUACUAACUCCCACUAAUACAUUUUUC
rnacentral:lncRNA from 1 species